rnacentral:rRNA from 1 species
AACGAACGCUGGCGGCAUGCCUAACACAUGCCAGUCGAACGAGACCUUCGGGUCUAGUGGCGCACGGGUGCGUAACGCGUGGGAACCUGCCCUUAGGUUCGGAAUAACUCCCCGAAAGGGGUGCUAAUACCGGAUAAUGUCUUCGGACCAAAGAUUUAUCGCCUUUGGAUGGGCCCGCGUUGGAUUAGCUAGUUGGUAGGGUAAAAGCCUACCAAGGCGACGAUCCAUAGCUGGUCUGAGAGGAUGAUCAGCCACACUGGGACUGAGACACGGCCCAGACUCCUACGGGAGGCAGCAGUGAGGAAUAUUGGACAAUGGGCGAAAGCCUGAUCCAGCAAUGCCGCGUGAGUGAUGAAGGCCUUAGGGUUGUAAAGCUCUUUUACCCGGGAUGAUAAUGACAGUACCGGGAGAAUAAGCUCCGGCUAACUCCGUG